rnacentral:rRNA from 1 species
AUUGAACGCUGGCGGCAGGCCUAACACAUGCAAGUCGAGCGAGCGGCGGACGUGUGAGUAAUGUCUGGGAAACAGCCUGGUGGAGGGGGAUAACUACUGGAAACGGUAGCUAAUACGGCAUUGCAUCAGAUGUGCCCAGAUGGGAUUAGCUUGUAGCUGGGGUAAGGGCUCACCAAGGCGACGAUCCCUGGCUGGUCUGGGAGGAUGACCGGCCACACUGGAACGGAGACACGGGCCAGACUCCUACGGGAGGCAGCAGUGGGGAAUAUUGCACAAUGGGCGCAAGCCUGAUGCAGCCAUGCCGCGUGUGUGAAGAAGGCCUUCGGGUUGUAAAGCACUUUCAGCGAGGAGGCGUUACUCGCAGAAUAAGCACCGGCUAACUCCGUGCCAGCAGCCGCGGUAAUAC